rnacentral:lncRNA from 1 species
CCCACUGAAGCUAAGAGGUAAUGUCCACAACCAACAAUGGCAUUAGGCAAGGAUAGAGAUUUGUGGGAUAGACUUCAAAUUGUUAAAUUAUUGUAAGGCUUGACAAAUGGAAAGUGCAAAAGCCACUUCUUAUAAAGCUUAAAGACCUUUUUGCAAGACUUUGAGGUGGCAAAGAAAUGGAUACACUUCAAUUUGUUUCCUGUUGCUUUCUUUAGCAUUCUCACGAUGCAGCUAUGAAAUGUGAAGGAAUUUUAUUUUUGCGUCAUCCUUGUUGGUGCUACUGUUCUUGGUGAAACACAAUGGCCGGAGACCUUCAAGUCAGCAAAAGAAAAGGAGAUAUGGUAUGAUUAUAUUGGUAAUACAUAUUGUUUCAUCCAUAAAUUGUUAUUAAAUAAUUUUAGUUUCGAUUUUGAUAAACCUUUUAUGUGUUUUGAUCAUUUUCAUCAAUAUCAACCUAUAUUGAUGUAUACCGACUUAUUCCCACAAGAUUUUUAUAUUAAAUAAUUUUUAACUUUUUGUCUUAAACUUCUUUUUGCAAUAAAAUAUAAUCAUUAAAUUAUGUUAUUUAAUCUAAUUAAUAAUUUUAUAUUUUAUAUUUAUACAUAAACAUAUUUUUAUGUAUGUGAUUGAAGUAUAUUUAUAUGUAAUCAAUAUAUUUUUAUUAAGAAAUUAGACUAUAUAUAUGAAAAUAUAUAUAUUUAAAAACCAAUAAACUUGAAAAUAACAUUGUUGACCUAAAAUAGUUGCUAAGUCUCCAAGUUGUUAAAUAAGUAAGUAACAAAGGAAGGGUAGAAGUGCAACACCUCAAACCCAGACUAAACGUUAUGGUCAGAUAUGGAGAAGUUACCAUGAUUCACUUUGAAAUUCACUUUGAAAAUCUAGAAAUCAUUUGGCCUUGUGGAAAAUUGCAAGCUUUUGAUAACACAAUUCCAGUUUAUCUUAAAUGACAAUAUCUUCCUUACUUAAUUCGUUAAUUCUAUCGAUAAACACAUAUUUAUAAAAACACUGAUAAUUGCAGCAGAACUCUUAGCUAAAUUCAAUUUGAAAAUCGCAGUUUGAAUUUUGAAAAUCCAAUGUUUUGCUAAUAGUGUUGUUAAAAUUUUAAAAACGAUUAAACGGUUUAAAACAGAAAAUUUAAAGUUCAAAACAAAAACAGUUCCAAAUGUUCGAAACAGUCCAACAGAACAAAAACAAAAUAAACCAAGUUUUUAAAUAGCACAAAUUAUCUGUGUUUAACCGAGCUCCUAUCGCAUCGACCCGUCCUAUAUUUGAGAGUUACUUGAGAGUCAAACAAACAGAGAAUGAGCUUAUAAGCUCAAUGUGUAACUUAUAAUAAUAACAACAGAUACAAUUUCAGACAUGCGUUCGAAUUUCAAAUAGACAUAUUUCACAAAAAAGAAACAGAAUCAUAACAUAUCAUAAACAUAUUUUAAAUCCUACACCCAUUCGCUACACACCAUCUCUGACUAUCCCUACACACCAUAUAGGAUAUUAAACACCCAUCCAGCCCUACACAUCGCUAAGUGACUGUAUGUCACUUUUUAGAAUAUUUGCAGCCUAGCUGCCAGAUCAUUAGGCGAUAAUUCGCUAGAAACAGAUAUAUAUGUGGUUGAGUAACCAAAUAUGACAAAUAGAUUAAACUGCCCACACUUCCUCCAUAAACAUAUUUCUCACCCCAAUGCACAUGCAGAACUAAAAUGUAUAUGACAUACAUGCUUUAUAUACCAAAUUCAGAUCAUGCUUAGCAAAUAACAUAUCAUACUUAAAAUAAUACAGAUCAUAGUUACCAUAAUACAGAUCAUACUUAGCUUAUAACUUAUUAACCAUGCGUACAUAAAUCGUAUUUAAUGUUAACAGAACAUCAGAGAUAAUGAUUUAUAGCCUAAUUUGUGUCAUACGAACCCUACGAAAGGCCUACGUUCGACUCGUAUGACGAAUACUUCCCUGGGAAAAAUUUUAGAAUUUGGGCCCACACACUCGUGUCACCCAUGCAGCCUACUUGGCCAGUGUGUGUGGGCCACACAACCUAACACACGAUCUCACACACAUCCAUGUGGCCCACACAGCCCAAUUGGCCCAGACCAUGCAUACGGUCUAGCACACAGUCUGUCAUACGACCAUGUGGUACACAUGGCCUGGCACACAAUAGUGUGGCGUUGACAGUCUAUUUUUUGGCUUUCAGACGUUCACGAGUUUUCAGUUUUUCGUUGCACACUUGAUCAAUUUUCGAUGUAGACCCAAAGACGAAUACUCCAAUACCUAAAAUGACCAUUUAUACAAAUUAAUUAACUUAGUUUUACAAAAAACAAACGCUAAAUCAUGACCCAAAAACAUCAAUUAAACUUCAAUACAGAAAACUCAACCUUAAAUAGUGACGAAUACAGUCACUUACCCUUAAGAACAGCAACCCACAAUAAUUAAGUCGCUGAAGGAACACCAAACAUCUCACAAUUCUCCCUUAAUUGAACAUUAAAAUGACUAAUUCCAUAACCCAAAAAUUAACACAUUCAUUCUUACCAACCAUGUAAAAACACAUCAAAAUGAAAACUCAAGACGAAAAUUAACCAAACUUACCGACAAGCAGUGACAAUAACGAGAGGAUAAUCAAUAAACCAAGACCAAAUCAUAAAUAAGUGUAAAGAAAGGAAAGAAGGGAAAAGCUCAAAAGAAAAGAAGAAAAAUAUGAGCGUGACUUGAGAGAAAACAGAAAAACAAAACAAAACAAAACAAAAUGGUAGGAGUGGAGAGAUGUGGGAGCAAAAAUUUGGGGAGAACUUAGGGGAAAAUCAAAUUAAUUUUAAAACAACCCAAAUCUAAUCCUACUAACCACUAAUUAGAUUUCUGGUAACUAACUAUAUUAUCAAGAGUUUGAAAUUGACCCAAAAUCAUCCACCUAGGUGACUCAAUCAGAAAUAACAAAAAUAUUGACAAUUUGCUCACCCAGAGAUUCAAUCUCAUGACCAUAUGAUAAGUUAACACCUUACCCCUGAACUAGUAGGCUCAUUUUGUCACAAGUUGAACGAAAAUAACUUUUAAGCCAAGUAAACAAGGAUAGGGCUAGGAGUAAAAAUAACUGAAUUUUCCCAGAAGAGAGAUUUGAACCCAUGACCUCAAGCACACAUUCAAAGCCCUUAUCUACUGAAGCAUACACUUAAUUAUGAUAGGAUUUAACAAAUCAAAAAUUCAAAUUUCUGAGGCAUUACAACUCUCCCCCUAAAAGAAAUUUUAGCAUCGAAAUUUUACCUGAUUCAAAUAGAUACGGGUAUUGCUGUCGUAUCAAGUCCUCAAGUUCCUAAGUGGUUUUCUUAGUGCCAUGAUUCCGCCAUAAAAACUUAACCAAAGGAAUGGUCUUCCUCCUCAAGACCUUAAUAUCACGAUCCAGAAUCUGAACCGGCUCCUUCUCAAAGGCCAAAUCUAGUCUUACCUCAAUCUCCCCAACUGAUACAAUAUGAUAUGAGUCAGACCGAUACCGUCUUAACAUAGAGACGUGGAACACAUCGUGAAUAUGAUCUAACUUCGGAGGUAGCUCUAACUGAUAGACGACUGAUCCAACAUGUUUUAGAAUCUGAUAAUGCCUAAUGAACCUAGGGCUCAACUUGCCCUUACGUCUAAAUUGAAGACCUUUAUUCCAUGGAAAUACCUUAAAACAAACUUGGUCACCCGCAGAAAACUUGAUAUCUCUCAUCUUGAGAUCUAAAUAUGACUUCUAUCUAUCAGAAGCUGCCUUAAGACGAUCUGAAUCAGUCGAACCUUGUUCAUAGUAUCAUAAACCAACUCAAGACCCAAAAUUCACCUCUCACCCAACUCAGUCCAACACAAAAGAUACAACACUUACGACCGUAUGGAGCCUCGUAAGGUGCCAUUUAAAUACUGAACUAAAAUCUGUUAUUAUAAGUGAAUUCAGCCAGUAGCAGAAACUCCUCCCAACUAUCACGAAAGUCAAUUACACAAGAUCGUAGCAUAUCCUCCAUAAUCUGAAUCACUCUCUCAGAUUGCCCAUUAGUCUUAGGAUGGAACACAGUACUAAAGUCCAACCAAGUACCCAAAGCCUCAUGAAGUUUUUUCCAAAACUGAGAAGUGAAACAAGAGUCUCUAUUAGAUAUAAUCGAGAUAGGAACCCCAUGAAGUCUAACGAUAUCGAAAAUGUACAGUUUAGCCAAUCUUUGUAGAAAAUAACCAGUCUUGAUUGUAAUAAAAUAAGCAAACUUGGUCAAACGAUCCACAAUGACCCAUAUAGAAUCCUUCUUAGUAGGUGUUAAGGGCAACCCAUUAACGAAGUCCAUAGUCACAUGCUCCCAUUUCCAAAGGAGAAUCUUAACGAGUUGAAGCAAACCCGAUGGCAGUUGGUGCUCAGCCUUAACUUACUGGCACGUAAGAUAAUUAUAGAUGAAAUCAAUUACCUCCCAUUUCAAACCAAGUCACCAGUAUAACUCUUACAGAUCCUGAUACAUCUUAUUUCCACCAUGAUGCAUAGCGUAUGACCUACUAUGCACUUUUCACAAAAUAGAAUGCAUUAACUUAGCACCGUUAGGCACACAAACCCGUCUUCUAAAACACAAAACCUCAUCACCAUUCAACCCAAAAUCAAAAGUCCUACAUUUUUCAACCUGUCAAAAUCGUAGAAUAAUAGAACCAUCCACUGACUAUUUAAUCCAAAUCCGAUCAAUCCAAGUCAGCUUAACUUGCAAGUUAGCUAACAAAUUACCAUCAUCAAACAAACUUAGGCGAGCAAACGUUGCUCUCAAAUUGAUCAUUGAUUUACAACUAAGAGUAUCGGCCACAACGUUGGUCUUACUAGGUUGAUACUCAAUAGUGUAGUCGUAGUCCUUAAGCAACUCAAUCCAUCUACGUUGCUUAAGAUUCAACUCCUUCUAAAUAAAAAGAUACUUAAGGCUCUUUUGAUCAGUGUAAAUGAUACACCUCUCACCAUACAGAUAGUGCCUAUAGAUUUUUAAAGUGAAAACAACCGCAGCCAACUCAAGAUCGUGUAUGAGAUAGUUGCCUCCAUGUGACUUAAGCUGUCAAGAUGUUUAAGCCACUACCUUACGAUCUUACAUUAGAGCACAAACCAACCAGAUGUGAGAAACAUCCUUGUAAACCACAAAUUCUUUACUACAUUUAGGCUAUAUCAAAACGAAUGUAUGAGUCAGAACGGGCUUAAGCUUUUCAAAGCUCAAUUACUGCUCAUUGGCCUACAAAAAAGGUAUGUUUUUACGCAACAACUUAGUUAAAAAACCUGCGAUAAGCGAAAACCCCUCAACAAAUCUUCAAUAAUGCCUCACUAAACCGAGAAAGCUUCAAAUCUUAGACACAUUCCUAAGCUAUUUCCAUUCAACCACAACUUCAAUCUUUUUAGGGUCGACUCAAAUUCCCUCAGCAGAAGUCACAUGUCCUAGAAAAGUAACCUUUCUUAACCAGAACUCACAUUUGUUCAACUUAGCUUAGAGUGUUUCUCACAGAGUAUCUGCAAAACUACUCUAUGAUGUUCAUCAUGGUCAUCCUCUGUCUUAGAGUAUACCAGAAUAUCGUCAAUAAAAAUCACGAUGAAAUGAUCCAAAUACGGUUAGAAAACUCAAUUCAUAAUAUCCGUAGAUGCAGCCGGAGUAUUCGUCAAACCGAAUUGCAUGACUAGGAACUCGUAGUGCCCAUAACGAGUCCUAAAGGAAAUUUUAUGUACAUCAGCCUCUUUAACCUUUAGUUAAUGGUACCCAAAAUGAAGAUCAAUCUUUGAUAAUACAAAGGCCCCACGAAAUUGAUCGAACAAGUCAUCAAUCCUCAGAAGUGGGUACUUAUUCUUUACCGUCAAUUUAUUCAAUCGGUGGUAAUCCAUACACCUUAGAGUACCACCUUUCUUUUUAAUGAAAAGAACUGAUGCUCCCCACACGGACACACUAAGUCUGAUCAACCCUCGACCAAAAAGUUCCUAAAGCUGAGCUUUCAAUUCCAUAAGUUCUUUCGGUGUAACAGCCCAUUUUUAAUAAAAUUAGAAUAGUGGUUUCGAGACCAUAAAUAUGAUGUGAGAAUAAUUAUUUUAUUCUAAUUUUAGUGUCUACAGUAUGUUAGAAAGUUUGUAUAAAAAUUUUGUUAAGAAAUUUUAUCGUUUUUAUGUUUAAUUUGAUGAAAAGGACUAAAUCGUAAAAUAUGCAAAAUUAGAGUUUUUAAGUUAAAGGUACUAAAUGGCUAUGAAAUUAAAUGGUUAAGGGAUUUAUGUGGUAAUUAUACCAUUUUUAGUAUGAGUGGACAAAUAUGGACAUUAGAUAGGUGUUUUUAUAUGUUAAUAAUAUGGUUAAAUAAGUAAUUUAAUAAUAAAUGUUAGUAAAUUAAUGAAAAACCAAAGCUACCAUCUUUGUUUUUCAUCUUCCACUGAAAAUUGACCUAAGAAAACACUAUUUUUAACAUCUCAAGCAUUCGACCAUCUCUCCCUAUUGCAUGUAAGUAUUUUUCAUUCUGUUUUUAAUGAUUUUUAUGUUUUUGAAGUCGUUGUAGCUUAAUCUAGCUAGCCCAUGGACUAAUUUGCAAAAUUGUUAAAAGGUUAGCAUUUUGCUAUGAAUAUAUUCAUGUGGUUUUUGAUGUUUGAUGAAAGAAAAUAAAUCUUUGUUGAUAGAUAAACAACUUUUGUAAAGUGAAUUUUGUUGAAAAUAUCAAAUAGGGAUUUAUUUGUCAAAUGUGUGAAGUACAUGGUGAAAAUUAUGAAAUAAUGAAUCCCAUUUUAAGAGCUUAAGGACUAAAAUGUAAAGAAGUUAAAAUGUUAGGGGUAAAAUUAUAAUUAUGUAAAAAAUGUGUUUUUGUGGAUCGAAUUGAAUAAUUGAGAUUUAUUGAAACAUUUAAUUGAAAAUACUUAUUUAUUUAGAUCAAGAUAUAUCUCAGCCAGUUAUAAACCGAGGUAAAGCGAAAGUCAUGGAUUAGCUCGAUCGUACUCUUAUGCGUUAGUUGGCAAUGUAAGUUCAUAGUAUUUAGAUGUAUAAUUGAAUUUCCCUAUAUAUAUUUUCAUCUUAUAACCAUUUAAUAAAAUACUUACGUUAAUUUUACCUGAUUGUACAUACGUGCCCCUAUUUGAACUUCGGUACCCCUGAUUGCACAUACAUGCCCCUGUUUGAACUUCGGUACUCCUGAUUGCACAUACGUGCCUCUGUUUGUACUUCGGUACCCCUGAUUGCACAUACGUGCCCCUGUUUGUAUUUUAGUACCCCUGAUUGCACAUACGUGCCCCUGUUUAUACUUCGAUAAUUUCAAUCGAGUAAAAUAAAAGUUGAAUUCAAUUGAUGAUAAGUUAAAAGAUUUAAUAUGUUCUUACUAAGCUCUGAAAGCUUAUAUGUUUUUGUGUAUUAUUUUGCAUAUCAUUAUCACUGACUUUAGGACAGAUCGAAUCUACGGCUCGCACUAUCCAUCGAUGUUGGUAGUUCUUUUUCUCUUUAGGGUUGUGGCAUGUAUAUGUGGCUAUAUAUGUUGUUUUGGUAUAAUAUGGGGAAUUACUAAACUAGGUGAUUAGGUACUUGUCUAAGUUUGUGAAUAGGUAUUUGUUGAUACAAAUAAAAUGUUAUGAAAGUAAACACUUACGGAUUGUUUUGGUUUUGUUGAUGAAUUAAGUUGAUAUGUUUGGUUUAUAAAUAUUGUAUAUUGGUUGGUGUGCUUUUGGCAUUUUCUAAGUUUAUUGAAGAAUUAAGCUCCUCAUCGAACAUCACAGGAAAAACACACUCAUCAUAGUCUAAACAAUUCUUGGCAGUUAUGUGUGGUAUGACAAAAUGAAUGGAAAAUGAAUAAAAAUACUAAACACGAAUGAUCAACUAAAUAUCUAAUGCAGUUUAGAUGCACAAUACACCCCCAAACCAAAGGGAUGCAUUGUCUUCAAUGCAUGUACAAAUAUGAAUCAUGAAUGCAAGAACAUAUAUAUGUACAUAAUGAGCUGUAAUAAAGGGAUAAAAACUUCCCGAGCUUGGAACUGAAUGGUAAUACUUUAAUUGCCAUGAGUGGUCUUUCGUGCACUUAUCUUAUAAUGCAUCGGCCUUUUAAGUAAAUUAAGUAGUACAUCCUCCUAUUCAUUAUCAAAUUUGGUGAGCUCAUCAAUAACCCGAUCGAUCUCACGAUCUUGUUCAGUCAUCAGUUCAGUAGAAGGAGGUGGAACAGUCGCAAUGCUGUCCACUGGUGGUGCAAUUAAGGGAUUUGCUUCAUCUUCUUCCUCACGGUCAGUCUCAAUGUUGACAGACUUUGUUUUCUCUGGUUCUUCCUCUGGUGCUUUGGGUACAUUCUCUUCAUUAGCAAGAUUCAUCUCAACAGGCCCUGUGUCACUAACCCUUUCCCCUCUUGCAGUUUAUUAAACAAAGGAAAUGAAAUAACUAAGAGAAAAAUAAAUCGAUAAAAUGAAAUAAAAAUAAAAAAAGAAUUUUCAAGAUGUUGAAGUUAAACAUAUUGAAUAUCAAUGGACUGUUUGUCUCGCUCACCCUAGUAAUGCUUCAAGCGUUGUCCAUUAACUGUAAAUGUGUCCUCCGUUUUCAUGUCAUUGACAUCAACAGUUCCAUACGGAUAUACAUGAGCUACCAAGCAUUGCUCAUCAAAAUUGAAAGAUCUAUUUUGCUCCAGCAAAGUGCACAAUGGUCUCCGCUCAAAUGAAUCUUCAUCACUAUCAGAAUUGCUAUGGCAAAAUCUCGUGAACUCUUCGCCCAUUGUUGCUCCUAUGAAGCCAUUGGCACGAUAUUGUUCAUUCUCAUCAGCAUAUUUCAGUACAUUAAAUACAUUGAAUGUGACAUGCUGAUCAGUCAUCCUCAUAGUCAAUUCACCUUUCUAUACAUAAAUUAAAGUGAUACCUGUAGCAAGAAAAUGUCUUCCAAGAAUAAUUGACAUAUAUUUGUCAACUUCACAAUCUAAAAUAAGGAAAUCUACCGAAAAAAUAAACUUAUCUACACUUACUAGUACAUCUUAAAUUUUACCUUACGAAUGUGCGUAGGAUCGAUUAGCCAGUUGCAACGUAACCGUAGUAGGUCUUGCCUUCCCAAUUCCCAACUUCUUAAAAAUAGACAGUGGCAUUAGAUUUAUACUCGCUCCUAAAUCACAUAAUGACUUACCAACAAAACAAUUUCCAAUUGAACAUGGGAUAGUGAAACUCCCUAGGUCAUUCAAGUUUGAAGGUAACUUAUUCAUCAACAUUGCUGCGCACCCUUCAGUGAUAGCAAUAGUCUCAAAUUCUCCCAAUUUGUUCUUCUUUGAUAGUAUAUCUUUCAUAAAUUUCACAUAAUCGGGCAUCUGGUCCAAAGCUUCUACUAGCAAUAUGUUGAUGUGAAGUUACAUCAAGACAUCCAAGAAUUUUUUUGAACUGAAAACCUUGCUUAGAUUUUUGAAAUCGUUGAGGAAAAGGUAGAGGUGGUCAUCUUCAGAUUGCUAAUAUUGAUUUUUCUGUGGCAUUUAUGUUGGCAGCACAAUCUGAAUCUAUUACCACAUUCUUUUGAUUAGCCUUUUCAGCUGCAGUGUACCAUUUAGAUGGCUUUGGGAUCUUCACAUGGUUGUUAUUCGGGUUAUCCUCUCCUACCAUGGCAUCUUAAGCAACGUUAUUCAACUAAGUUCCACUUCUGAGAGUGAUCACUUUGCAAUGCUCUUUUUCUUGUGAUCUCGAAUUCUCAGUAUCACUUGAAAAAGCUCCUUUUGACCUCAAAUUUAGAGUAUUUGCUAUCUACCCCACUUGAUUCUCAAGAGCUCUGAGGGAUGCAGCUUGACUCUGGAUCACAACAUCAUUUUUGCCCAUAUAUUCCUUCAACAGAGCUUCCAUAGAUGAAGAAGAUGAUGUUGAACUUCGUGGAACAUUUUGUCAUAGCUUGGUUUGAUUAUAACCAAGUGGUGCAUUUGUGGCAUUCUGUCUAACAACAUUGUUGGAGUUCACCACUCAUUUAUUAUUCCAACUAAAGUUUGGAUGUUGCUUCCACCCUGGAUUGUAGGUGUUGGAAUAUGGGUUAUUGUUCUGGUUGAAAUAACCUAUGUAAUACAAAGAGGUUGGGUUUGAUGGGCAUUCAUCAUAAACAUGAUAUUCCCCAUAAUAAACAUAUGAUAGCUCGACUGUUUUCAUCUUCUAAACUACAGUUAGUCUUUUUACUAUUUUGAUCAUAUUAGCUAAAUAUGAUCCUGAGCUGUUUAUGAAAUGAUUGCAUCAAGCUCCAUUGUGCCAGGAACUCUUCUACCAGUCCCCACUCUCAUAGUAAGGUAUUAACAAUCAUUGUUGGCAAUCCAUUCCAAAAUGUAAUACGCUUCAUUAUAUGAUUUAUCCAAUAAAGUACCAUUGGCAGACGCAUCAACUACCAUCAUUGUAUGUGUGUUUAAUCCAUCGUAAAACAUUUCCAUCUGUGUCUAAUGUUAGAAACCAUGCACCGAACAUUUCCUAAGUAAUUCAUUGAAUUGCUCCCAACAUCUCUUCCUCUGAUUGCUGAAAAGAUGUGAUAUUAUUCCUUAACUUGACAUUCAUAUUUGGAGGAUUUUAUCAUAGAAAAAACCUUUGACAAAAAUCAUUCCAAGAUGCCACCAUCCCUGACGGUAAAGCACUCAACCAUGCUCUGGCACGAUCUCUUAAUGAAUACGGAAAUAGUUUAAGUUACAUGGCGUCUUCAGGAACACCCUAUUGAUUGAAUGAGUCACAAACUUCCAAUAAAACUCUUAAGUGCAGUCGUGGAUCUCUAGUAGGCAAUCCACUUAACUAUCAUACCAUUUGUAGCAUCUGAAACAUUACCAAUUUUAACUAGAAAUGCUAAGCUUUAAUGUGUGGCCUGACUAUUCCUGGAUUCAAAUCAUCCAAAAUUGGCACAACAUGCUCUCAAAUGGGUCUAUCUCUAUCAUCCAUCACACGAAGGAUAGGUAAAUCAGCAUCCCAACCAUUCAGUUGUAAUGGAUCUUCCCUACUUGCAUCAUUUCCAAUCCUAGCCAUAUCUUGCAAUUCUCGUCUCAUUCUUCUCAAAGUUCUCUUGAUUUUUGGGUCAAAAGGAUACUCUUCGUUAAUAGGAAUGCCUCUACUCAUACACUAACAACAAAGUUAAAUAAAACUAAUUGAAUUAUAUAAGAAAAAAAACAAAACCAAAUUUUAACAAAUUGUCGAUCCCCAGCAACGGAGCCAAAAACUUGUCACGUGUGAAUAUAAUGUGUGAAUGUGCAAGUCUACACAUCGAAUCAAGUAAUAAAGUAGUAAGUAAGAUCAUCUCCUCAGGGAACAAAUAGGAUUAAUUAGGUUAAGCUAUUACUAUAAACUAUAUGAAUCAGGCUAUGACAAAACAGAAUAACAAUUUGUAGAGGAAUAAUCACAUAUGCAAUAUUAAAAUCAAAUAACUAACUUAAAAUGUUGUGGCAAAGAUACGAAAACAAAGUUCAGAGAAUCUACGUUGUUGAAUAGGACCAUUGAGAUUACUAAGAUUCUUUCCUCAUAACACAAUAAUGCCAUGGCAAAAUCUUAACCAAUCAACUAUUCAGAAUAAAUCUAAGGUAGUCUGCUUAUAUUGAGUGUCAGACUUCAAGCUACCCUACCUAAGACUUUGCAUGUCUACAAGCCUCAAGAAGGAUACCCAGCACUGUUUCUUCCUUUCUCUAUACAGAGCGCAGCUCUAUGUCUAGAGUGCUACGAGUAUUCUUUCCAAUAUUGCUUGUAUCAUUCGAUCACAAUCCAACUCAUCUAACCUUUUCAGAAUUAAAUCAAGUUUAUGGACAUACCAUACAUUCAUCUAUGACUAGAGACUGCAUACAUACAUUUUAAAAUAGCGCAAAUCGAAUGAAACAAUAAAUCUAAUCAGGAUAAUGCCUUGGUCAUUAAAGAAACUAAAGAUUCAUCCAGUAAUCCCAACCUGAUAAGAUUAGCUCAUCAGUUGGAAAUUAAAAUCGAAACUAAAAGUAUCAUUCAUCAACAUAUUUUCACAAUUAAAAUUCAUAGAAAUCAAUUAAGAUAAUGAAGGAAGAACUUCAGGAAACUUUCACUAAUCCAGCCCUCAACUCCAGUGUUGCAAUAUCUUGCGAAGCACAGGGUUGAAUGCUUCUCUUUCUUCCUUGUGUUGUGGCUUUGUUCCUUAGCUGCUACCUUAUUUCCUUGUGUCUCUGGAUCUCCCAAUAGAAAUUGUAUGAGAGGAAAAAUUGCCUCCCUCCUCUUUUUCUCUUUCUUCUUUUUAUAGGGUAAGUCCUCUUCUUAGCACACACUCUUUUCUCCCUUUUUUAACUGGAUAUUUCUAGUACAAGUACAGUUGGCUGAGAGUGGCACAGAUUGACAUCUAAGUCAGCAUCUUCCUGGAAUUGCCAUGCCAUUUGUGCUAGAAAUCUAUCCAACCAUUUUUCAUGACAAAACUUCUCUCAUUCACUUAUUUCCUCCUUUCUGCACCUGUUAUAAACAACACGCAAUUUCUUUCCUCCUACAACUAAAAGUAACAUAUAGUAACAUUGAAAACACAAUUCAAGCUUCAUAAUGGAAUGUUAUAAAAAUAUUAAUAUAAUUUCCUAAAAUGCAAAUAAAUUUACUCAAGCACGAACAAUUAACCAAGUCUAGAGGCCUGAAAUAUAACUUUUUUCAAUAGUUAUCAGCAACCUCAUCAAUUUCUCGAGAAAAUAUCUAAAAAUUCUUUAACUGUCCAAAUAUCCCCAACAUACGAUUCCACAAAACCAAGUCUUGCACAUAAGCCAAAAAUGUCUCACACCCUUUCCGAACUAACUUUUCGGCUACAAGAGCGGAUAUCACAUUGGAGAGGUAAUCUUGACGCUCGCCGAUCAUGAUAAUCUCCAUAUCAUCCUCAGAUCUCAGAAUUACCCUCUUAGUAGCACAAUCUAAGUUAACUCGAUGCUUCACGAGCUAGUCCAUUCCCACUAUCAAAUCAAACUCUUCGAACGGUAACUCUAUCAAAUUAGCCAAAAACACAACACCUUAUAUCUCCAGUGGACACCUUCUAUAACCCUUAUUAACCCGUACCAUCUGACCCAGUGGACUACUGACAGAAACCUCACCAGAAGUACUCUCAACAAGAAUUCCCAAAUUUAUAAAAACAAUACUAGAUAUGUAUGAGUGAGUAAAGUCAAUAUCUAUCGGUGUAAAAUAUGGAACAAAAUUAAUAUAGAAUGUACCAUCUAUCACAUUAACGGUGCCGUACCGCGUACACCAAAGCAGGCUACCUAGCCUCAGUUUGAUUUGCACCUCUGCCCCCCAUUCCUCUCUGAACCUACCAAACCAUUACCACCUCUGGCCUGCCCACGUCCCCGAGGUGGCUGCUGAACUGCCCUCUAAGGCUGAACCAAACCCGGAGCUUGAGCUUGCACCUAACUAGAGCAGAGCAGCCAAUCCCUAAUACGGUGCUCCACAGACCUGCAUCGUAGACAAGCUCCCAAUCUCCUCCAACACUCGCCCGGAUGGCGCCUAUCACAAUCUCAACAACUAAGUCUCAAAAAAUAGUAAUUGGUGCCUCAAUCCAUAAAGGCCAAUCGAACCUAACCUGUUUCUUAGGCCACUGAACAGAGCUAGAAGGACCCAAAUCCCUCUGAUUUUUACUCUGGCCCCUCUCUUUCUCUCUCUUUCCGCACUCCACGCGCUUAAUAUCCUCAGUAAUCUCAGCCUUCUCCACUAGAGUUUCAAAGACUCGCUCCCUCUAUGGAGCCAUCAAUACCUUAAUAUCAUACCUCAAUUCCUUCUCAAAUCAAAUACUCUUAUCAUAGUCAGUCUCUACUAACGCACGAGCAUAUCUGCUUAGGCUAAAAAAUCUGGCUUCAUACUCGGCUAAAAUCCUAUCUCCCUGAGUUAAGCUCAUAAACUUGCAUCUACAAGCCUCUACAUAACUCGCCCUCACGUACUUGUAUUGGAAGGCAUUUGGGAAAUAAUACCAAGUUACCGAUUCGGGUUGAGUACCCUCCUUAAUGGUCAGCCACCACUAGUAGGCUUCAUAGCGAAGCAAUGAUGCUGUAACCUUUAGUUUCUGCUCAGGAGUGCAGUCUAUAUCAUUCAUAAUCUUUUCUGUGGCCGCCAACCAAUACUCGGCCACAGUUAGGCCGACCCUAGUGACACCCCUAAAUAACUCUUCUCUAUUAGACCAGAGUCGUUCAGUUACCGACCCUCGGCUCCCAAAUUCAGAAUGGGUUCCAUCGACCCUCUUAAGAACUCUUAACAUGGCUUGGGACAAUGUGUUGUCCCCAUUCGUCUAAGUCUGAUACCUUACCUCAGCAGUAGGCGUACCCAUAGUCUCGCUCAUAUCCAAAUUAGGCAUACUACCUAUCAAGGAUGGCUCAACACGAGCCCCUCUUUCAUGCCCACCACGCCCACGGGUACCUCGUCCAUGAGUACCUCAUCCACGAGUUCUAGGCAUACUCAUUGUAAAUUAUCUUCAUUUUAAGAUUUUUGUGUAUUGGUUUAGGAGUUUGUUAUCAAAUAUUUUAUGUCCAAAAUUUUAUCAAAAAAUUUUUCAGAGUUUGUUACUGUCUUUAACCACAACAGAGUGAUUCUAAUACCAUAAUUGUUUUCUAAAACAAAAUUUUAGCGAAGACAGAAGGAAGAGACUCGGUAUUCUUUAAACUCAUUUAUCAGAUUUAAACAAAAAUAUAUUUUGUUCGAAAAAUACUUUUCACAAAAGAAAAUUUGAACCCAAAAUCACAGAGUAAGUUUUGAACCUGGCUCUGAUACCAUAAAAUGUAACACUCAAAACCUAACCUAGACUUUAUGGCCAAAUCUAGAGAAGUUACCAUGAUUCACUUUGAAAAUUCAGGAAUCAUUUUAGCGUGUAGAAAAUUACAAGCUUUUGAUAACACAAUUCCAGUUUAUCUUAAAUGACAACAUCUUCCUUACUUAAUUUUUUAAUUAUUUCGAUAAAAACAUAUUUAUAAAAACACUUAUAAUGGCAGCAAAACUCUUAGCUAAAUUCAGUUUGAAAAUCGUAGUUUCAAUUUUUAAAAUCCAAAGUUUUGUUGAUAGUGAUGUUAAAAUUUUAAAAAUGAUUAAAUAGUUUAAAACAUAAAAUUGAAAGUCCAAAACAAAAAUAGUUCCAAAUGUCCGAAACAGUCCAACAGAACCAAAACAAAAUGAACUAACUUUUUAAGUAACACAAAUUAUCUAUGUUUAACCGAGCUCCCAUCACACCGACUCAUCCUAUGUCUGAGAGUUACCUAAGAGUCAAACAAAUAGAGAAUGAGCUUACAAGCUCAAUAUGUAACUUAUAAUAAUAACAACAUAUACGAGUUCAGACAUACGUUCGGAUUUCAAACAGACAUAUUUCACAAACAAAAACAGAAUCAAAACACAUCAAAUAUAGAUUUUAAAUCCUACCCCAUCUGCUACACAUCAUCUCUGACCAUCCCUACACACCAUAUAGGGUAUUAAACCCAUCCAGCCCUACACACCACUAAGUGACUGUAGGUCACUUUUCAGAAUAUUUGUAGCCUAACUGCCAGAUCAUUAAGCAGUAAUUCGCCAGAAUCAUAUAUAUAUUUGGCUAAGCCACCAAAUACGUCAAAUAGAUUAAACCGCCCACACUUCCUCCAUAAACAUAUUUCCCACCCCAAUGAGCAUGCAGAACUAACAGGUAUCAUAAAUGUAUAUGAUAUACAUGCUUUAUAUACCUAAUUCAGACCAUACUUAGCAAAUAACAUAUUAUACUUAACAUAAUAUGGAUCAUACUUAACAUAAUACAGAUCAUUCUUAGCAUAUAACUUAUUAAUCAUGUGUACAUAAAUCGUAUUUAACAUUAACAGAACAUCAGAUAUCAUGAUUUAUAGCCUAAUUUGUAUCAUACGGACCCUACGGAAGGCCUACGUCUGACUUGUACGACGAAUACGACCCUAGAACACAUUUUAAAAUUUGGGCCCAUAUGCCCGUACGGCCCACACAGUCUACUUGGCCAACCUAUGUGGCCCACAGGGUCUUAUACAUGCCCGUGUGGCCGACACGACCUACUUGGCCAACCCGUGUGGACUACACGUCACCCACGUCCAUAUGACCCACACGGCCCAAUUGAUCGAGAUGAUCUAGCACACGGUUUGUCAUGCUGUUAUGUGUUGCACACAGCUUGGCACACGACCGUGUGGCAUAGAUAGUCUAUUUUUUGGCUUUCAACCAUUCGCGAGUUUUCAGGUUUUCGUUACGCACCUAGUCAUUUUCAAUGUGGACCCAAGGACGAAUACUUUAGUACCUAAAACGACCAUUCAUAUGAAUUAAUUAACUUAAUUUUACAAAAAUUGAGUGCUAAAUCAUGACCCAACAAUGUCAAUCAAACUUCAAUACAGAGAACUCAACCUCAAACAGCGAUGAAUACGGUCACUUACCCUCAAGAACAAGCAGCGACAACAACGAGAGGAUAAUCAAUAAACUAAGACCCCAUCGUAAAUGAGCAUAAAGAAAGGAAAGAAAGGAAAAGCUUAAAAGAAAAGAUGAGCAUGACUUGAGAGAAAACAGAAAAAAAAAGAAAAAAAAUGGCAGGAGUAGAGAGAUGUGGGAGCAAAAAUUUAGGGAGAAGUUAGGGGAAAAUCUAAUUAAUUUUAAAACAACCCAAAUCUAAUCCUACUAACCACUAAUCAAAUUUCUGGUAACUAACCGCAUUAUCCAAAGUUUGAAAUUGAUCCAAACUCAUCCACCUAUGUGACCCAAGCAAAAAUAACAAAAAAAUAUUAUCAAUUUUCGAACACAUGACCAUACGAUAAACUAACACCUUACCACUAAACCAACAAGCUCAUAUGUCACAAGUUCAACGAAAAUAAUUUUAAGCCAAAUAAACAAGGAUAGAGUUAAGAGAAACAAUAACUUAAUUUUUCCAAAAAAAAAAAUUUUGAACCCAUGACCUCAAGCACACAUUUAAGGCCCUUAUCCACUAAAGCACACACUUAAUUAUGAUAGAAUUUAACAAAUUAGAAAUUCAAAUUUUCGAGGCGUUACAAGAAGUGUCUGUAGAAGUGGGUAUUUCUGCAAAAAUUAUGACAAAAACAAUGAAAACAAGAGACAGUAAAGUUGUUUAUGCAGUUUAGUUUUCCUAUAUCUGUAAAGUCUAGCUCAAUGAGAUGAAUCCACUAUCUUUGAAGCAAAUACAAGUGAUCCUAGUUCUAACACAACUUAAUGAAAAAUCUUUACUUUUGUAUCUCAAAGACUAGAUCUCUCACCACUAAAUUAUUCCACUAAAAACUUAGGUUGUAAAACCAAUCACAAAUAGGUUUUACAAUAUAUAUAUGUGCUUUCACAAAUACCAAAACCUUACUUAAAUAGAUAAGUGCUCUCAAUCAAUCACUUUCAUAACCUAUACAAGUCUCUCAAUUAUAUAAAGUUUUCUAGACUUGAAAACAUAAUGAAAAUCAAUUACAAUCCCUUCUAAACAGUAGUUAUAUUAGCUAAAUAUAAUAUAAUACUCAAUAACCAAAGUAAAAUGGACCAUUCGCAAAUAAGUCUUCAAGUUUCGGUCCAGUCCAACUUCCUUCAUCCAAAGGAUUCGACAUAUACGAUUCAAUCCUUCAAAUAUGUUUCUUCACAUGAAUUAAACUUCAUUGAUCAGCUUGAAUCAUUCCACGAUAUCAGCACAACUCAAAAAUCUGGUUCAAUAAACUGUCAAUAUUCCAAAUAUUGCAAGUUAUUAUUUUGUCAUAAUGGUAAAGGAAGUGGGUACUUCCCUUAACACAUUGCAACAACUUCAAAUAUUUUAACAAACACAUUAAAAUAUAGAAAUACCCAUAUGUAUUAAUAUAAAAAAUAAAACAAUAUGCUAAUAACUUUGAUAUAAGGCGAAGCAAGAAUAGUUUGGCAAGAGCAUGGUUGUGUGUGGCUUGAUUCAGUUUUUUCUUUUUCUAGGAUUUUUUAAGUCAUAUGUGAUAAUACGGUUUGAUUCAAUUCUUGAUAUUUUCAUAUUAUUUUGGGUUUGAAUUUUUGGAUUUUAUUUGACAAAAUGAGCUUUCUUUUAUAGCUUUUGAACAUUAUUUGACAAAAUUUUAAUUUCUUUUCAUAAAUAUUUUUAAAAAAACUAAUUAAUUAAGUAAAAAAUAAUCAAUAACUUUUAAAAAAAGUAUAUAUUAUUUUUUUAAUUAUUUUAAAUAUAAAAUAUCUAUUUUUAACUUAUAUAAAAUUUAAAUUAAUUACAAAUUAAUAAAAAAAUAAAAUUCAAUUGAUUUUGUAAUUUGUGAAUGAAAAUCAUGUAAAACACCAAAAUUGAGAUCGAUUUUUGGGAUUUUCAAAAAUAAAUAAAUAAAAUUCUCUGCAUUAGGCUAGAGUGUUGACAAUAGUAAAUCCAAAAUGUUUCUGGGUUGUUAGUGGAGAUCUAUUGUUGGUUUGGGUGCCCAUUAAUUUUAUGUGGCAAGUAGUUGAAAGGCUCGUUGCUUUUACAUGUGCUGCCUUUACAAGGCGACUUGACAAUAGAUGUAUGUGAGCAUUUGGAUCCUUGGGCCUUUAUCCUAUGUGAGAGGGAUUUAACACCUUAUAUGGUGUUGACUGUUGAAGCAUUUCAUCGGUUUUAAUAAUUGGGGUUGGAAUUGUUCAUAAUAUGUUUGUAAUUUGCAGCACUAUCUGAUGUUUUUAUUAAGACUCUCUUCGUAGCAUCUUGUGUUUGAAACAAGAAUGAAGUGGUCUUUUUCCAACAUUAAAUUACAAUGCAACACUUUCCCUCCCUUAUAAAUACGCCUCUAAUUUUAUCAAAAUAAUUAAUUUUGUCUUUUCAACCCUCAAACUUGGUAGAUUGCCACGUAUACGACAUGUUAUCAUUUAAUUAUUAUUUUUAAUUUUAAAAUAUAUAUUUUUAAUAAUUUUUAAAAUUUUAAAUUUUAAAAAAAUUAAUUAAAUGAUGACAUGUCAUCUAUGUGGCAAUCCACUUGCAUGCCACGUUAAAAAAGUUAAAAAUAUUUUUCAUCUAUUUUAAAAUGAUUUAACAAAAAAUAUAAAUUUAAGAGCUAGAUAAAAAUUUAAAUAGAAAACUAUAACGAGUUCUAAAUAUUUAAUUGUUUAAGUCCACCAAGCACUGCCCAAUCACGAAAAGAGAAGAAGGAAAAAAAUUAUUAAAACAUAAUAGUUUAACUCACAAUCAAUUCAUUAAUGGGAAAGUUAAUAAAUAAAAUAGGAAAUGAAUACAUGAUUGAAUAAUUAUUUACAAGGAAGAUGUUUAGAAUGAGAUUUUUGGGCAGUGAAUUCUUUGAUAUACCCUUGUAAUAGUUUGAAAUUAAAAAUAAAAUACGAUUCACUCUAGUCUAAAAAUGAAUGUAUUGAGAUUGUAUUACCAACCCCAAUUCUCUCUUAUCUUUAUCUCUCAAUUGCCUCAUCUCUCUCGCCGAUAAUCUUAUUUUCCCCACUCCAUUUAUUAUUGUUUACCAUCAUCCAUGUAAUUGUUUCUUACUUUUCCUUUUCAAGAGGCUCAACCUCUUCAUUUUACCAUCUUCUUCUUUCGUUCUUUCUCUCUCCGGAAAAUUCAAGUCUCCAUCAUCCUUUACAGAUAUUCAAGAAUGAAUCUACAAAAGAAAAAGAGGGAGAAGCUCUAUGUUAUUUUCCGGGGGAAGAAACCUAGCAUCUACCACUCAUGGAAGGAGUGUGCAUCGCUAGUUAUUGGCUUUAAGGGGAACAUGUACAAGUCAUUCAAAUAUAAGAAUGAUGUAGUUAAAGCCUUGAAGAGGUUUGAAAACUCUAGUGUUAUACUUCUUUCCUCAUCUAUGCAGAAUCCCACAUGUCAAGAACAUGGUACUCGAGUUCUAUGCUAAUUUUUAGAAGACAAUAACUGAUAAUGAUGAUGAGCACUAUAUAAAGGCCUAUGUGCAUGAGCAUAACUUCUCCUUCAACCCCAUUGACAUCAAUAAUUCUUACCCCAUAGAAGAGAAGAUAAUGAUGAUAAUUUGUUCUAAACUAUUAAUCUUACUGCACAACUAACAACAUCAGGACCACAUGGCUUGAAGGUUAAGACUUUAUGAAUUCUAAAUUGGAACCAAAUGAUGCCACCCUUCAAACAAUUAUAACCAUGAUCUGGUUUCCAUCAAAACAAGGCAUGUGUGCUAACAAAUGUGUGGCUGCUCUAUUGUAUAAGGAUGUAUAAGCCUAGAACAAGAGGCAUAUGUUAUUGCUUCCCUUGCAUCCCAAAUCUUGUUACAAGAAAAGGACUUAAUGCAGGAAAGAGAAGUCCUUUAACAAAAAAUAAGAUAGGAGUCAAGGAACUGCUACUACUAUGAUUGCUUUAUUGCUUAUGGUAUUUAGAGUUAUGAUGAUUUUUUUGGUUGGUGAACUUUAUUUGCCCUCUACUUAAGUAUAGAUAUUAAUGUUGUGAUAUUUAAUACAUGGAUUGCUAUGGUUUGAAUACUAUGUUUUUUUUUUCUAUUACUAAUGAUAUUUUUAUUAUUGAAUUAAAGAUUAAUUUUAUAGUUUACUUAUUAAUGAUUAAUUUUGUAGUUUACUUUUAUAACUAAUUGGUUUAAUUAGGGCGAGCAAUAACUCUUUUAUGGAUAGGAUCAUAAAAUCAGUCAAGUAAGGACUCUAUUUAAAGACUUUAUAUAUGAUUGUGGAUGAAGAAAUAUAGUUGCUAUAGAUGUUAAAUCCCUCAAAACCUCUUCUUAUUUGAUGCCAUAUAGGAGUAUUACUAAAUCACAAUUCAAAAAGAUCACGUUCACACUACUUGAAGUUUUUCAAGCUUAUAAUGCCUAUUUAAAGAUGACCUAUUUACUUAAUUACGUUGUCACCCCAAACGUGGGCCUAAAAGUUUUAAGGUAAAUUAGGAAUUUUGGCUUGGAAUGGGUUUGGAAAUUUUGAACUGUGGUAACCCGAAAUUGUUUUCAUCUAUGGCUUUUUGAAAAUUGAAACAAUUUUUGAAAAUAAUGUUUAAAAGACCUUCAAUUUUGAAAUAAGGACUGAUUAAUAAAAGGGUCUAAAUUAUGAGUUCUUAAAAGGAAAUUAAACCAAAUAUUAAUUUUCACCCUAUUUUCCCCUUCAUCCUUAUAAAACCCAUGUUAGUCUCUUCUCCAUAUUUUUCUUUUGUCAUCCAGUGCAUUCCAUAGCUCCUCUCAUUCAAUUUUGACUCCCAAACUUAAUUACUUAAAUUUCUAUCAUUCCCCAAGCCAUAAAUAUCCAUAGUAUUUCAAGAGAAACAUCCAAGAACGUCAUAGAUUUCUCCAUUGUUAAAUUUUUGGGUUUUUCAGGUUUUUGAUUAAAUGUCCAGUUUUUCGUCAACCAAGGUAACGAUUCGAUUUCUUAUUAGUUUUUGAUGUUAUUUGAUCGUUUAAAUUGAGUUUUUAGCCAAUAAAUUGUAUGUUUUAAAUAAAAGUUGAAAAUUGGGUCGUUAACGGUGAAUUUUAGUAUUUUGGGUAAAAACGUAGUUUCAAAGUGUUUUUCAAUUAGUUUUGACAUGAUUAGAAGUUUUCUAAACUUGCUUUAAAUUCUCGUUGAAGAUUUUCAAUGUUUUAAUGAUUUUUCAUGAAAAUUGCCAUAAACAUGUCAAAAAUUUCGAUACCAUGAAUUGGGUAGUUUUGACUAGUUUAAAGGUUGAGAAUUAGUCGUAGGAAAAUAAUUAGAUGAACGGAAUCAGUUUUAAGCAAAAAGAUUAAGUAUGGACCGAGAUAAUAGAAAUUCAAGUUUGUUAUGUCGAAGGUUUCGAUUACAUGAAAAUUUAGCUUAGGCUUGUGUUUUGAUUGUUUGAAGUGAGUCUUUGGCUGGUUGUUUAUUGUGUAUAUUGUGUGGUUUUUAUGUGAAGCAUCGAAACCAUUGGAGCCUUCUAUGACCAAGGCGAAAUGCACGAAAAAUCUAGUUUAAGCUUUCGACAAUUAAGCGAAAGCGUGAUCAAUGAGUGUUUGGAAUCGCUACUUGUAAACAUGAUUCAUAGUGUUAAUUGGGUGUUUAGGAAUAGUCUAAACCCCUAUCCUAAGUUCCGAGUGUAAACUUUCUAUUUCUCUUGUUUUAUUUUGGCAAAUUAUGUGAUUUUGUGAAUAAUUGUGGAUUGAUUAUUAUGAUGCGAUAAUGUGAUAUGAAACAUGUGUGAUGACUAUUGUGAAUUGAGUUGUGUUAUGGGCAUGAUAUACAUACCAAAUGACAGUGAUAAUGUUAUGCUAAUAAUGCAAAUAUGCAGCAGAAGUGAGCAGAAUUUCGGUAAGUAUAUAUGUGUUGAAUUGUGGAAUGUGAUAUUAUUAUGACAGGUAAUAUGUGAGAAUACUUGUAUGUGAUAUAUGAUGUACUAAUUUUAAUGCACACAUAUGUGGUCGGAUAUGUGAAGGCUCAAUGAGUAUUAUUGUGGCAUUUAAAGUGCAAUUAAAUGUGAACCCGAUAAGCAUGCAUUGUGUACAAGUUGUGAUAUAAAUUGAUGAAUAUGAACAGAAAUGAUGUGCAUUAAAUCAAUAAUUAAAAAUGUGUAAAUGUGGAUAUUUUGGCAUUGCGAUCUCUUGAAACCGUUGGAUAUAGUUGGCAUGUCAUAGGAUUGUGAGUACUCACCCAUAUGUAUUGUAUUUUUGGCCAUUGAGGCCUUAGGACAGGUUGGAGAGAUAAGGGAAUGUGAGCUAAACUCCAUUCAAUGGGACAUGUUUGGUGUGUUAGAGAGUGUUAGCUUUAUGCUUCACUUUUUGGGAUAUGUUUAACUUUAUGAGUCAAUUGGUGUGUUAGAGAUCCAUGUAUCUGAUGUGUGAUGAUAGAGUCCACUUUUAUGUUUCAUAGCCUCAAGUGCCAAAUUAUCGUUUAAAUGUGAUCUUAUUUAUUUUGAUAAUACGACGUGAGAUGAAUGCAUAAACAUGUAAAUAAUAUGCUAAAUGAGUCUAUUUAAGUUUCAUGAAAAUGUUAGUAUUUUCUCAUAGUAAAUUGCGUAUGUAAUUGUGGGUUAGGUCAUUUCGACAUUGGUUUACAGAGGUAAAUGAUGCAUGUUGAUUAUAUAUUUAUUGGAAUGGAUUAAAUGCAUAGACGUGUUGUAUUUUUGUGGUCUAAAGUAGAGGUAUCGAUAUUCAGGUUAUUAAAACGAUACCUCUGUGAUAUUUUGAUCUGCAAGAAGUCAAUAUUGUAAUUUGGUAUCGAUACCUUACCAUGAGUAUCGAUACUCAAGUUAAAAUAAUCGAUACUUAAUAAAGGUACUGAUAAAUUCUGGGGUUUUAUUUUUAAAAAAGAAACAGAAUGUUAUUUUGGUAUUGAUUUUCCAAUUGGUAUUGAUAUCAUAUAAGAGAAAAUCAAUACCUUUGUUUCAGUAUUGAUACCUGUGUAACUUGUUUCAGAAUUUUGCUAAGUGGCUCUAAUUCAUGUUUAAUUUAUAUUAUAAGUUUAUUUGAAGUAUGUUUGACAUGUUUUAAUGACGAUUAAUACAUUCUUGACUUGAAAAUUUGUAAAAAGUCUAAUAAAAUGGACGGUUGCCUAUUAAUGUAACAUUUUAUAAUGUGUGUGAUGCGUGACUAUGGUGUGACAUCCUGAUAUUCGGGCUCAGCGACCGGGCCAGGUAUAGAGUGUUACAAUGUACAAGCCAAAGAGAGCACUUAUUUUUUCAUUAUUAGGAACUAGGUUUUAGAACAAUUACUUUGUAGACAAAUUAUUUCAUGCUUAGUUUGUAACUAAGCUUUUAAGGGAGAAGUCCUAGUGAGGAGAGUGGUGUUAAUUAUUUUAUUGAAAUGAGGUUGCAUGUAACACCCCUAUACUCGGUUUGACCCAAGGAACCUAAUAUAGGAAUAUUACAUUUGGUGCCAAAGUGAUUCUGGCUAAUCACUAAUUUGAACAUAAAAAAAUAAAGUUUUCUUAACUUAUAUUUUAGUCCCUACUACUUGGAACACACUUGAUCUUCCUAAGUACAUGCUAUUCUAUUCAAAAUUUUGAAACAUACCUUCUUGGCACUUGGAGAUGGGAUGAGAUGGAUGCUCACAACCUCAAUUACAACACUUCAAAAUCACUGUACCUACGCGUUGAAAAUAAACGCAUUAAGCCGGUGAAGACUUAGUAGUACCCAUGAUAUUUAAAUUCUAUUAAAAUUUUUAAUUUCCAAUAUCUCGUUUAUUUGUUUAUUUAUCAUAUUCAUUUGUAACUUUUUACUUAUUUCACAAUUUAGUCCUUAAGUCCUCAAAUCAACUUAUAAAAAUUACUACUCUUUUUAUACAUGAAUCAUAUUUCACCAUUUAGUAUAAAUUUUCAUUAUUCUUUCACAAUUUAUUUUUACAUAUUUAACUUACUAGUCAUUGUCUUUCUUAUACUUCCUCAGAUACAUUCAAAUUACUUACGUCUUCACUUUACUAAUUUAAUAUUUCGAACAUUAAUAGAAGAUAAAUCUUUACCUUGUAACGGAAAUUGUUUACCCUUUUAGCAGAGGUCCAGUAGACUAAACAGAACACUUAGGAUAUACGGAACUGAUACAAAGGUGCAUUAUUAUGCACUAUUAAACAGAGAGCAUUAAAGUGCUAUACAGAGAGCACAAAUAUGCUAAACGGAGAGCACUAAUGUGCUAAUAAUCAGAGAGUGUGCUAAGGUUCCUUAAUGGCAUGCCAUAAAUAUCCUAGCAGUUCUAAUCUCGUCUACUUGGGCAAAUCAUAUCGUACAAACAUAUCACUUUUACACUUUUUGCAUAAUGCUUUUACAUACUUUACAAUUUAAUCCUUGUACCAAUAAUCCAUAUACUUAUAUCUUCCACUAUUUUUAAUACAUGUAAUAAAUCUCUAAAUUCAAUAUUCAUCCUGUUCUUAAUGCAUUUUUGGGUGAUUAUUCGAUGUUAAAUUAUGAAUUUUAUGCUCCUACUCCUUUAAAUUCAUAUUUUUAUACUUAGGAGAGAAUUUGAUAGCAAAAGGAGCGAAAAUUGAAAAAUUGGAGCAAGGUACAGGGGCAACACAAGCUAAACCAUUCCACACGGAUUGGGCACACGACCGUGUGAGCCAUACGAGCUACCACAUGGCCAUGUGGGAGGCCGUGUCGAUUUCAUAAAUUGCACUCCAAACAGCAAAAAAACAUGAUUUUUAGGGGUUUUGGGGCAAUCUGAGACCUAUAUAUGACAAAAAUAAGAAGAUAGGAGAGAGCUGUCACAGAAUACUCAAGAAAACAACUCGAAAAACACCAUUGAAGCCAAUCCUAAGGCAGAUUUCUGUCAAGAUUGAAGACUCCCAGUUGAUUUCUUUAGAGAUUAUAUUAGUUUCUUUAUUUCUUUCGGUUAUACUAUCUUUGGGAUGUUUUUAUUUGCAAGCAUGAAUUAAUUUUCUAAAUAAUAGGGAGAUGAACCCUAUGAUGAAUUUUAUCUUUUGAUUUUUAUUUUAUGCAAUAAAUACUAGAUUUUGUUCUCAAUUAUGUGUACUUAAUUCUUGGUUUAAUAUUUCUAGAUUAUUGAUCCAUGUUUGAUGUGCUUAAAUUAGAGGAGGAAUAGACCUUUUUUAAGAGUAGAUCUAAUGUAAUUGAGUGAAGUUACAUGCAAUCAUAGAAAUAUGAUUACAUAAAUCUACCAGAUUAGAGUCACAUCUAAUAGGGGGAUCCAGAGAUCGAGUUAAUUUGACAAUAGGAGUUUUAAUUAGAAAGAAAUUUCAAUUAAUCAACCUAGAGUCAGUUGCUCUUAGUCUUGAAGAGAGAUAUUAGCAUAAUUUUGGGACUUUUACGGAUCAAGAUACUAAGUCAAGAAAUUGCGUAAUAUAGAUUGAUAAUGACAUAUGAAAUCUAGGUGAAUUCUUUCAUGGGUAUUCUUUUGCUUCUUGGUUGUUAAUCGGUUAUUUUCCUAUUUUGUUCUUUGUCGCGUUCUUUAGUUAAUAUAAUUAGUUAAUUUUAGUUUUUAAUCAGUCACUCUAAUUUUUUGGUUAAAUAAUAGAAAAACGACAAUUACUAGUACUUUUAGUCUUCGUGAUAAUGAUAUCUUUGCUUACUGUAGCUAUACUAUUAAUUGAUAGGUGCACUUGCCUUUGUCAAAUUUUUAGUUGGUUUACGACUGCAUCAGGGAAGUCCUGUUUCUCCGAUCACCGUUGAUCCUUCUAGAACAUAAAGACUGCCAAUCUUUUUACCUUUCAUCAAAACAAGAGCCCCACGAGAUACCUUAUAGUCUUUUGGCUUGAUGUUGAUUUUACAAUCCUUUGAGUCCAAAAUUCCAAAAGAGAUGAUAAUUUUCUUUAAAUUAGACACUUGCCUGACAAUACCAAUAUCGGUUACCCUACUAGGUGAACCAUUCCCCAUGCACACAACUCCACCUUCAACUGAACUAUAUGUGGAGAAUCAGUCCCUGUUGGGACACUUGUGGAAAGAACACCCCGAAUCUAUGAUCCAUUUAGACGUAAGCUCGAAGCUUUCACUAGUUGACACAAACAAGAAAUCAUCACCCUUGUCAUUGGCCAAAUUAACACCAACUAAAUCUUCUUCAUUGCUUUCAACAACCCUUUUAUUUCACAGUUUGUAACAAUCUACCUUAACGUGACCUCACUUCUUACAAUAGCGACAUUUCUUGUCUUGUUUCCUUGAUGCUACCAAAUUGUCUUGUUUCAUUGAUGCUACCAAAUUCAAGAUUUCUCUAUCUUACUUGAUACCCAAACCAAACUCAUUGUCGAUUUAGUCUUGGCUCAACAAAUGACCAUUCAUAUCCUUAAAUAAGAGAUUAUCUAUGUCAUAAAUCAUGGUCUCCCUAAAAGACUUGUAUGAAUGGGGUAAAGAAUACAAUAAUAACAUAGCUUGAUCUUCAUCGUCAAUUUAAACCUUAUCAUUUUUUAAAUCAUUCAAAAAAGUAAUAAAUUGACUGAUGUGACCUCUAAGGCGAUCACUUUCGUCCAUGCAGAACGUGUAUAAACAUUGUUUCAAUACCAAUAGGUUAGCCAGAAACUUUAUCGCGUAGAGGGUUUCUAACCUUUUCCAUAAGGUAAAUGUCGAUUCUCCAUCAAAACCUCUUACAACACAGUAUUUGUUAGAUAUAAUUGAAUCAUGGAUAAAACUUUUUUAUCUAACCUAUCUCGUUCUUGUUUAUCCAUGUUUGUAGGUUUUCUCUCCGAAGGACCUUCUCAAGAUCGUUUUGAAUCAGAAUUGUCGUCAUUAGAACUUGCAAUAGAUUGAAAUUUUUGAUGCCAUCGAACUUAUCAAUAUCAACCCUUGUAGUUGCCAUCUCUAAACGGGUUGAUUGUGGAAAUCGAACUAGUUCUGAUACCAAUUUAUUAGGGAUAAACCCGAUUAAGUAGCAAACAAGUAAAAAUAUAAAAAAAAUUGAAAAGAUCGAACACAAAUAUUUUAAGUGAAAAAACCCCUUCGAAGAGGAUAAAAAACCAUGAGCAAAGAUAAUUUCUACUAUAACGAUAAAAACGAUGAAGUACAAAGAUGA